rnacentral:rRNA from 1 species
GAUCCUGGCUCAGGAUGAGCGCUAGCGGGAGGCCUAACACAUGCAAGCUGAGCGGUAUUUGUCUUUCGGGACAGAGAGAGCGGCGUACGGGUGCGUAACACGUGUGCAACCUGCCUUUAUCGGGAGGAUAGCCUUUCGAAAGGAAGAUUAAUACUCCAUAAUAUAUUAAUUGGCAUCAAUUGAUAUUGAAAACUCCGGUGGAUAAAGAUGGGCACGCGCAAGAUUAGAUAGUUGGUGAGGUAACGGCUCACCAAGUCGAUGAUCUUUAGGGGGCCUGAGAGGGUGAUCCCCCACACUGGUACUGAGACACGGACCAGACUCCUACGGGAGGCAGCAGUGAGGAAUAUUGGACAAUGGGUUAGCGCCUGAUCCAGCCAUCCCGCGUGAAGGAUUAAGGACCUAUGGUUUGUAAACUUCUUUUGUACAGGGAUAAACCUACCCUCGUGAGGGUAGCUGAAGGUACUGUACGAAUAAGCACCGGCUAACUCCGUG